UAGGGAAUCUUCCACAAUGGACGCCUGUCUGAUGGAGCAACGCCGCGUGAGUGAAGAAGGUUUUCGGUUCGUAAAGCUCUGUUGUUGGUGAAGAAGGAUAGAGGUAGUAACUGGCCUUUAUUUGACGGUAAUCAACCAGAAAGUCACGGCUAACUACGUGCCUCCAGCCGCGGUAAUACGUAGGUGGCAAGCGUUGUCCGGAUUUAUUGGGCGUAAAGCGAGCGCAGGCGGAAGAAUAAGUCUGAUGUGAAAGCCCUCGGCUUAACCGAAGAACUGCAGCGGAAACUGUUUUUCUUGAGUGAAGAAGAGGAGAGGGGAACUACAUGUGGAGCGGGGGAAUGAGUAGAUAGAUAGAAGAAGACAAGUGGGGGAGGAGACUCGCUGGUAGGCAAAUGACGCUGAGGCUGGAAAGCAUGGGUAGCGAACAGG
rnacentral:rRNA from 1 species